rnacentral:rRNA from 1 species
GUCGGACGGUAGCACAGAGGAGCUUGCUCCUCGGGUGACGAGUGGCGGACGGGUGAGUAAUGUCUGGGAAACUGCCCGAUGGAGGGGGAUAACUACUGGAAACGGUAGCUAAUACCGCAUAACGUCGCAAGACCAAAGUGGGGGACCUUCGGGCCUCACACCAUCGGAUGUGCCCAGAUGGGAUUAGCUUGUAGGCGGGGUAACGGCCCACCUAGGCGACGAUCCCUAGCUGGUCUGAGAGGAUGACCAGCCACACUGGAACUGAGACACGGUCCAGACUCCUACGGGAGGCAGCAGUGGGGAAUAUUGCACAAUGGGCGCAAGCCUGAUGCAGCCAUGCCGCGUGUAUGAAGAAGGCCUUCGGGUUGUAAAGUACUUUCAGCGGGGAGGAAGGUGUUGAGGUUAAUAACCUCAGCAAUUGACGUUACCCGCAGAAGAAGCACCGGCUAACUCCGUGCCAGCAGCCGCGGUAAUACGGAGGGUGCAAGCGUUAAUCGGAAUUACUGGGCGUANAGCGCACGCAGGCGGUCUGUUAAGUCAGAUGUGAAAUCCCCGGGCUUAACCUGGGAACUGCAUUUGAAACUGGCAGGCUUGAGUCUCGUAGAGGGGGGUAGAAUUCC